AGAGGGAGAGGAAGAGAAGAGGUUUGGAGGCAGAGACAGCAAGGAAGAGGGAGAGAAGAGGUGUGGAGGCAGAGACAGCAAGGAAGAGGGAGAGGAAGAGAAGAGGUGUGGAGGCAGAGACAGCAAGGAAGAGGGAGAGGAAGAGAAGAGGUGUGGAGGCAGAGACAGCAAGGAAGAGGGAGAGGAAGAGAAGAGGUUUGGAGGCAGAGACAGCAAGGAAGAGGGAGAGGAAGAGAGAGGCAGAGAAGAGGGGUGGAGGCAGAGACAGCAAGGAAGAGGGAGAGGAAGAGAAGAGGGGUGGAGGCAGAGACAGCAAGGAAGAGGGAGAGGAAGAAAGAGAGACAGAGAAGAGGGGUGGAGGCAGAGACAGCAAGGAAGAGGGAGAGGAAGAAAGAGAGACAGAGAAGAGAGAGAAAGCAAGGAAUCAAAUCAAUAUUUUAUUGGUCACAUAUACAUGGUUAGCAGAUGUUAAUGGUCACAUACACAUGGUUAGCAGAUGUUAAUGGUCACAU
ensembl:lncRNA